rnacentral:tRNA from 1 species
UGCGGGGUGGUGUAAUGGUAGUCACGUCAGGCUCUGGACCUGAAAAUCUUGGUUCGAAUCCAAGCCCCGCAG